UACGUAGGGUGCGAGCGUUAAUCGGAAUUACUGGGCGUAAGGCGUGCGCAGGCGGUUUUUCAAGUCUGAUGUGAAAGCCCCGGGCUUAACCUGGGAACUGCGUUGGAAACUGAAAGACUAGAGUGCGGCAGAGGGGGGUAGAAUUCCACGUGUAGCAGUGAAAUGCGUAGAUAUGUGGAGGAACAUCGAUGGCGAAGGCAGCCUCCUGGGAUAACACUGACGCUCAUGCACGAAAGCGUGGGGAGCAAACAGG
rnacentral:rRNA from 1 species